GGCUGUUCCAUAAAAGCCGCUUAGAAAAGCGGGGAUUAAAGUCCAAAACCUGACUUGAAUGAGCCGAGUUAAACAUCCGCGCUUAAAUUGGUUCCAUAACAGUAAGUUGAGGAUCAUGUGAUCUUACUAAUUUGAGUCAGGUUUAAAUAGUCUAGAUAAUUGCGCGUGCACGCCAUUGUUUAAAAGUCCUGAAAAGUCGAGCAUGGGUCAAUCGAUUUACUGUGGGCUACCAUGGCAACAAAAGGAAAAGAUAGAGCAGCGCUGUUCACGGCAACGGAACAGCGUUUGCUAUUGGAAACAUAUGAAGAAUUUAAAGAUGCCAUCACCAAAAAAGGCAAUACAGCGGCAAUAAAUAAAGCAAGAGAGAAAGGUUGGCAGGAAAUUGCUGAUCGUCUCAAUGCCAGCAACUUAAGUGAAGGAAAAAGAACCUGGCAGCAGGUGAAAAUAAAAUAUAAAAAUAUAGUUCAGAAUGCGACCAAAAAGAAGACUGAGGUUGCUGGCACUGGGGGAGGGCCACCACCAGCCAGCUUCACUCCUGCAGAGGAGCUGGCUUUGGAAAUUAAUAAAGGGAGGCCCGUCCUUGAGGGAAUAGAGGGGGGGACAUCAUCUAAAAUGAUAUCACGUAGUAUAAGGAGUGAGUAUAUAAAAGGUGUGUGUGUUUUAUUAUCAUUAUUCCUUCCUGACUAACUGAUUUCCUCCUUCCUUAGGCAUUGUAAGCCUAAGUACAUCAUAGCAGUAAUGUCACGUAGAGGUACUUGUGCUACUGUAAUGGUGCAUUUUGGUAUUCUGUAUGCAUUAUGGAUCCACCAGACAUCAUGUUGCCUGUGAGUAUGAGACCUUUUAAAUCAGUCAUGUAAGCUAAUGAGUUUAACUGAGUUUAAUCAGUGGUCACAGGGAGAAGGCCCAUCAGUUGAGGAGGAUGAGGAGACUGUGUCUGUAUGUUCAAGGAGGCCUGAGGUACUCACAGGUUCCAUGCUAUACUGUAUUGAAUAUUAAAAAGUGUACUUGUGUGAUAAAAUGAUCAUAAUGUGUUUUCAGGAUGCUGACACUGUUCUAGAGCCCUCUCAGUCUGGGACCACAUGUGACAGUGAGUAUUAAGAAAUGAAAACAAUGUGACGAGUAUUCAAUGAAAUAACUUAAAUCUAUGUUGCUACAGAACCCAGAAAACAUAAAAGGAGUGUAUAAACGCUACCUCCUUAAACAAAUAUAAGCGAUUGAUAUCGACAUCCAGUAUAAAAAACUGAAGAUGAGGAAGUUGGAGCUGGAAAUUCAACAGCUACAGAAAAAUGCAAAUUCACUCUGAAUAAAGACAAAUCACAUUAAAUACUUUGACUUCUGUGUGUUUGUUCAACUAAGGAGAAAGUUGAGGGGCCAGUGGAAAAUUUUAAAGGCUACACAUGGUUUAGACCAUAUUAAGCAAAAUAAUUAUUUGCAUAUGUGUCUCGUAUAAGUCUGCCUGUUUCGUUUUCUUCCAAUACUGCUUCAUUGCCCCAGUCUUCCUCUUCAACAAUCCUUGGUUGCCUCUCUCUCCUCAGACAAGCAAUGUUAUGGAGCACUACACAAGCAACUACAAUGUCACAUGGCCUAGGUGGAGUCACUCUGAGGUGCUUCAGGCACUGAAACCUUGACUUUAUCAGCCCAAAUGCCAUCUCUAUACAACCUCUUGUGCGUGCAUGGGCAAUGUUGUAGCGGUGCUGUGCCUCUGUCUGGGGCUUCUGAUAGGGAGUCAAGAGGUAAGGCAGGCAUGGGUAUCCCUUGUCUCCCAGCAA